AUUUUUAACAAAGGAUAUCUUGGUUUGUGCAUCGAUGAAGGACGCAGC
rnacentral:rRNA from 1 species